UACGGAAUGUGCAAACGUUAUUCGGAAUCACUGGGCUUAAAGAGUCCGUAGGCGGCAUGUUAGGUGAGGUGUGAAAUCCCCCGGCUCAACCGAGGAAUUGCGCUUCAUACCGGCGUGCUAGAGGAAGAUAGAGGUGGGCGGAACUGAUGGUGGAGCGGUGAAAUGCGUUGAUAUCAUCAGGAACACCGGAGGCGAAGGCGGCCCACUGGGUCUUUUCUGACGCUGAGGGACGAAAGCUAGGGGAGCGAACGGG
rnacentral:rRNA from 1 species